rnacentral:rRNA from 1 species
UACGUAGGGGGCUAGCGUUGUCCGGAAUCAUUGGGCGUAAAGCGCGUGUAGGCGGUCCGGUAAGUCCGCUGUGAAAGUCGAGGGCUCAACCCUCGAAUGCCGGUGGAUACUGUCGGGCUUGAGUACGGGAGAGGCGAGUGGAAUUCCUGGUGUAGCGGUGAAAUGCGCAGAUAUCAGGAGGAACACCAAUUGCGAAGGCAGCUCGCUGGAACGUAACUGACGCUGAGACGCGAAAGCGUGGGGAGCAAACAGG